UACGAAGGGGGCUAGCGUUGCUCGGAAUCACUGGGCGUAAAGAGCUCGUAGGCGGUUUGUCGCGUCGAAUGUGAAAACCCGGGGCUCAACCCCGGGCCUGCAUUCGAUACGGGCAGACUAGAGUUCGGUAGGGGAGUCUGGAAUUCCUGGUGUAGCGGUGAAAUGCGCAGAUAUCAGGAGGAACACCAAUGGCGAAGGCAGCUCUCUGGUACGUGACUGACACUGAGACGCGAAAGCGUGGGGAGCGAACAGG
rnacentral:rRNA from 1 species